CAAAGAAUUUCCUACAAAAUGAAAAUUGAACACAACACACAGCUUUAAAACAAAAACAAAACAACACUUAGAAAUCAAUCACCUCUUCUAAACACAGCCUUAAAACAAAACAGAACAACAUUCAGAGUAUGAGCAUUAAUCACAAAAAAAUGAUUUCUGAAACAACAAAAACAGCAGAACAACAUUCAGAGUUUGAGCAUUGAUCACAAAAUAUUGAUUUAUGAAACAAAACAAAACAAAAACAGAAGAACAACAUUCAGAGUUUGAGCAUUGAUAACAAAAAAUUGAUUUCUGAAACAAAACAAACACUGCAAAACCAACAGAACAGCAUUUAGAGUUUGAGCAUUGAUCACAAAAAAUUAAUUUCUGAAACAAAACAAACAAUCAACAAAACAAUGAAAACAGAAUUUUUUUUCCUUCAGAAGAAGAAAACAAUGAAAACAUGAAGUAUAUAAUAAAUCAAUGAUCACCAAUAUCCAGCAAGAAUCUCAAAGACAACAAUAAAUACACAACAACAAUUUAGCAAAUAAACAAGAACAAGACCUAAAUAGAAAAUCCAACAAAUUAAAUCACAGAAACCUAACAAUUUAGCAAAUUAAAACAACAGCAGCCCAA